UGUUGAAACUUGAAACCAGGAGUCCAGGACCUAGAAACUAGUAGUCAGACUCAGUAGUCAGGCUUCCGUCAGUUGAAGCGAGCAAGCAAGCAAGCAAACAGACAGCAGCUGAUUGUGGUUUUAGAACAGUGGACAUAUACGCGUCGUACUGCACAGUUUCAUUUAUUUACCACACUAAUUAACUAUGAGGUUUAGAUGUUGCCUUUUCUGCCUCUUCCAAAUAAGUUCAAACAAAACGAGAAGAUACCAAUGCCACUGAGAUUUUAUCUCCAAAAUGGUUAAAAGGAACCACUCCAAAGCUAAAUAUUUCCCCUGCCGAUAAGGAUAUAUCAGUUAGGCAAAAUCCGUCCGUCAGUCAGACGGUCACCGUCAAGCGUUUCAAGUGCUUUUCUAACUACGUACAGGGCAAGAUUGCUUGCACAAGGAGUCUCGUGCUUGUCCUCUCUCUUAAAGAAGAGGGGACCGAAGAGAUGAUUUACAGAAAGGAAGAAAGGCAGAGAUGAUAUAUGAAGAAAGGAAGAAGGAUGGUUCGCCGAAAUAAUAAAUUGCCUAGCAGCCGGUAAAUCCAGGGCUGUUUUUUAAAAUGUAUCAGGACGCCUCAAAUUAAAAAAAAAAAAAAUCUGCUCCUGUAGUCCGCUGAAAGUUGCUUUCAAAUUGUA